UACGUAGGGGGCAAGCGUUGUCCGGAUUUAUUGGGCGUAAAGAGCUCGUAGGUGGUUUGUUACGUCUGCUGUGAAAACCUAGGGCUUAACCCUGGGCCUGCAGUGGAUACGGGCAGACUAGAGGUAGGUAGGGGAGAAUGGAAUUCCCGGUGUAGCGGUGAAAUGCGCAGAUAUCGGGAGGAACACCGGUGGCGAAGGCGGUUCUCUGGGCAUUACCUGACGCUGAGGAGCGAAAGUGUGGGGAGCGAACAGG
rnacentral:rRNA from 1 species